GGGGAUGUAGCUCAGUUGGCUAGAGCGCUUGACUGGCAGUCAAGAGGUCGUGGGUUCGAAUCCCAUC
rnacentral:tRNA from 1 species